CCUACGGGGGGCAGCAGUGAGGAAUAUUGGUCAAUGGACGAGAGUCUGAACCAGCCAAGUAGCGUGAGUGAAGAAGGGUUUCGGCUCGUAAAGCUCUGUUGGUAGUGAAGAAAGAUAGAGGUAGUAACUGGCCUUUAUUUGACGGUAAUUACUUAGAAAGUCACGGCUAACUACGUGCCAGCAGCCGCGGUAAUACGUAGGUGGCAAGCGUUGUCCGGAUUUAUUGGGCGUAAAGCGAGUGCAGGCGGUUCAAUAAGUCUGAUGUGAAAGCCUUCGGCUCAACCGGAGAAUUGCAUCAGAAACUGUUGAACUUGAGUGCAGAAGAGGAGAGUGGAACUCCAUGUGUAGCGGUGGAAUGCGUAGAUAUAUGGAAGAACACCAGUGGCGAAGGCGGCUCUCUGGUCUGCAACUGACGCUGAGGCUCGAAAGCAUGGGUAGCGAACAGGAUUAGAUACCCCAGUAGUC
rnacentral:rRNA from 1 species